rnacentral:rRNA from 1 species
AAUUGCCUACGGGACGCAGCAGUGGGGGAUAUUGGACAAUGGGGGGAACCCUGAUCCAGCGACGCCGCGUGAGUGAAGAAGUAUUUCGGUAUGUAAAGCUCUGUCAGCAGGGAAGAAAGAAAUGACGGUACCUGACCAAGAAGCCCCGGCUAACUACGUGCCAGCAGCCGCGGUAAUACGUGGGGGGCAAGCGUUAUCCGGAAUUACUGGGUGUAAAGGGAGCGUAGACGGUUAAGUAAGUCUGGAGUGAAAGGUCGGGGCCCAACCCCGGGACUGCUCUGGAAACUAUUCA